rnacentral:rRNA from 1 species
UACGUAGGGGGCAAGCGUUUGUCCGGAAUCAUUGGGCGUAAAGAGCGUGUAGGCGGCCAGAAAAGUCCGCUGUGAAAACUCGAGGCUCAACUUCGAGCUGUCGGUGGAAACUUUCUGGCUAGAGUCCGGAAGAGGAGAAUGGAAUUCCUGGUGUAGCGGUGAAAUGCGCAGAUAUCAGGAAGAACACCCGUGGCGAAGGCGGUUCUCUGGGACGGUACUGACGCUGAGACGCGAAAGCGUGGGGAGCGAACAGG